UACGUAGGGUGCGAGCGUUGUCCGGAAUUAUUGGGCGUAAAGGGCUCGUAGGCGGUUUGUCACGUCGGGAGUGAAAACUCAGGGCUCAACCCUGAGCCUGCUUCCGAUACGGGCAGGCUAGAGGUAUGCAGGGGAGAACGGAAUUCCUGGUGUAGCGGUGAAAUGCGCAGAUAUCAGGAGGAACACCGGUGGCGAAGGCGGUUCUCUGGGCAUUACCUGACGCUGAGGAGCGAAAGUGUGGGGAGCGAACAGG
rnacentral:rRNA from 1 species